AUUGAACGCUGGCGGCAGGCCUAACACAUGCAAGUCGAACGGUAACAGGAAGCAGCUUGCUGCUUUGCUGACGAGUGGCGGACGGGUGAGUAAUGUCUGGGAAACUGCCUGAUGGAGGGGGAUAACUACUGGAAACGGUAGCUAAUACCGCAUAACGUCGCAAGACCAAAGAGGGGGACCUUCGGGCCUCUUGCCAUCGGAUGUGCCCAGAUGGGAUUAGCUAGUAGGUGGGGUAACGGCUCACCUAGGCGACGAUCCCUAGCUGGUCUGAGAGGAUGACCAGCCACACUGGAACUGAGACAUGGUCCAGACUCCUACGGGAGGCAGCAGUGGGGAAUAUUGCACAAUGGGCGCAAGCCUGAUGCAGCCAUGCCGCGUGUAUGAAGAAGGCCUUUCGGGUUGUAAAGUACUUUUCAGCGGGGAGGAAGGCGAUAAGGUUAAUAACCUUGUCGAUUGACGUUACCCGCAGAAGAAGCACCGCUAACUCCA
rnacentral:rRNA from 1 species